GAGUCUUCUCCAACACCACAGUUCUGGACUGCAAAGAGAUCCAACCAGUCAAUCCUGAAGGAAAUCAGUUCUGAAUAUUCAUUGGAAGGACUGAUGCUAAAGCUGAAACUCCAAUACUCUGGCCACCUGAUAUGAAGAACCGACUCAUUGGAAAAGACCCUGAUGCUGGGAAAGAUUGAAGGCAGGAGGAGAAGGGGAUGACAGAGGUUCCAAUUGACAGGAACUAGGAUUCCAAGGAUGAGCAGGGGAAAAGAAGAAGCAAAGAUUGGAAGACAAGGAAAUAGAAUUAACUACGAGGUGUGCCAGAUAAUUCUGGCAAACAGAAACCUAGAGAAGACAUCUUGUCCUAGUGGUGGAAAGAAACACCCAGUCAAAGGGAAACAAGCAAAGAAGAAAGAAAGCCAUUUUGUUCUUUGUAAAGC